rnacentral:rRNA from 1 species
GACGAACCGUCCAAACGUUAUUCGGAAUCACUGGGCUUACAGAGUUCGUAGGCGGUCUGGAAAGUUGGGUGUGAAAUCCCUCGGCUCAACCGAGGAACUUCGCUUGAAACUACCAGACUCGAGGGAGAUAGAGGAAAGCGGAACUGAUGGUGGAGCGGUGAAAUGCGUUGAUAUCGUUUGGAACGCCAAUGGUGAAAACAGGUAACUGGGAGUGUGCCGACGCUGAGACACGAAAGCCAGGGGAGCGAACGGG